rnacentral:rRNA from 1 species
GAUGAACGCUGGCGGCGUGCCUAAUACAUGCAAGUCGAGCGAACGGAUGAGGAGCUUGCUUCUCUGACGUUAGCGGCGGACGGGUGAGUAACACGUGGAUAACCUACCUAUAAGACUGGGAUAACUUCGGGAAACCGGAGCUAAUACCGGAUAAUAUUUUGACCCGCAUGGUUCAAAAGUGAAAGACGGUUUUGCUGUCACUUAUAGAUGGAUCCGCGCCGCAUUAGCUAGUUGGUAAGGUAACGGCUUACCAAGGCAACGAUGCAUAGCCGACCUGAGAGGGUGAUCGGCCACACUGGAACUGAGACACGGUCCAGACUCCUACGGGAGGCAGCAGUAGGGAAUCUUCCGCAAUGGGCGAAAGCCUGACGGAGCAACGCCGCGUGAGUGAUGAAGGUCUUCGGAUCGUAAAACUCUGUUAUUAGGGAAGAACAAAUGUGUAAGUAACUAUGCACGUCUUGACGGUACCUAAUCAGAAAGCCACGGCUAACUACGUG